rnacentral:misc_RNA from 1 species
UACUGAAAAACUACUUUAGUUUUUGGUUCCAUCCUAUUGUUUAAUUCACCCUGUUGCUUCCACUGGAAUAAGCUCCCCAUACCUUGUGUGCGGGAGCUUUUGGUCAUAGAUGCCAGCCAGUGGGAAGACCAUUUAUAAAAAUUUGUUGAGAACCACUUUGUCUGAAUAUUUUGCUCCAAUAUAAUAAAACUUUCAACAACGGAUCUCUAGGCUCUUGCAUCGAUGAAGAACGCAGUGAAAUGCGAUAAGUAAUGUGAAUUGCAGAAUCUCGUGAAUCAUCGAAUCUUUGAACGCACAUUGCGCCCUAUGGCAUUCCACAGGGCAUGCCUGUCUGAGCGUCAGCUCCCCCCAGCUCAAGCAUCCAUUUAAUGAUGCUUGGAUUUCUUUGGAGAGGUAUCACUUUUUAUCAAGAGAAGCCCUCCAGAAAUUCAUAGGCAGUAUGGUUUGCACUGGAACCAGACGUCAUAAUAAUAAAAUCGUUUGUUGUGGUAUAAUCAUUGUACUUGCCUUGCAAACACCCAUUGAUUUUCGGGUG